rnacentral:sRNA from 1 species
CAUACACUAUACACACGUUUUUAUUUUAUGAAGUAAGUUUUCUCCCCAUAGUCCUGGCUGGCUUUGAGCUUACAAUCCUCCUGAUGCCAUCUGACAUGCUGGGAUAGGGGACUUGCAUAACUAUGGCUGAUUUGGAAUUGAUUGUUUUUGUUUGUGAAAACAUGCCCCAAAACAUGGCUUCAGGCAGAUGUGUACACACCACUGAGCCCCACCAAGCCCUGGGUGACCCAAUGGUCAGAGCCCUUCCUGAGGGCUGACCUUGCUUGAGAGAGUUUGUUCUGGUGGGACAUAGCUAUCUUCCUUUCUUUCCUCCCUCACCUUUCUUUUUAAAAGAACACAUUGCCCCCUCUCCGUCUCAUCUUCCCAGCAGCAGGGGAGCCUGGUCCUUGAAUAUGCAUGUUCUUUGCUGAACGUUGGAAAGUAAGGCAUCAUUUUAAGAGAAGCUGAAAGGUAGAGAGAGGGCAGGGGGGCAACCUAGGACCGUGGUUUGGCUCCCAGACACUCGGGCUUGGCUCUGAAUUUCCUAAGAGACCCCAGCAGCAGGCCUCUCUGCCUCCCCAUGCUCAUGAGUGAAAGGACAGCAGUAAUUCCAAACUGACCGCCAAUGUGAAGCUCUCCACUGUGGGGUGGAUAAAUUCUGAACUGAUUUUCUGGACUUCAGGGGUGGCAGACUGCCACGGAUAUUGUAGCGUGUCUACAAAGUGUCCCUCAAACUUGGUCCCCAGCUGGUGGUAUUACAGAGAAGUGAUUGGAUCCUCAGUGUUCUGAAUUCCUCCAAGUGCUAACCUGCUGAUUAUUGGCUGGAUGGGCUGUUAGGUAGAAGGCAGGGACAGCGAGAGGUUUACUCUUGUUUCCACAACUUCAGUUUCCUUCUCUCUGCUUCCUGGCCUCUGAGAGGUGGUCUGCCUCAUCUGCCACAUGUUCCUGUCACUCACCACAGGACCUUAGCAACGGAGCCAGCUCCCAGCCCCACACUGAUGAAAAACUCUGAAGCCACGAACCAAGAAAAAGAGAUGGGGAAGAUAUAAAACCAGCCUUUUCUUGACCUUAGUGAAAGUGGAAACUUCAAGGCCACCAAAUGGCACGAAAUCUGAAGACCAGAUAUGACAAGAUUAAGGGAUGAAGCAGAUCCAAGAAUCUCUUCCCUGGUUUCUCUUUCUCUCUGCUCUCCAUCCACGAUGAAAGAGCGGUCUCGUUCUCCGUUGACUCCCAUCACCAUGAUGUUUAUCCUCAGCAGAGCCAAGCAUACAUGGGUAGAGCCCUCUGAAACUGAAAGCGCCCUGCUGCUUUUUUGCUAGCUCACUGGAGCUCUUCUGUCAAGCUCAUGUAACUUCCGUUCCAGAAAGUCACGAUCCUGAUGCAGAGAGGGCUCCAGCUUGUAUAAGCUUGAGUAACUUCUAAAGUUAUGAAGGCUCAAAAGUCUUAAAAUGGGCCACAUCAGGCCGGAGAACCAGGAAGGCAAGCCAGUGGCAUAUUUCAAUGUGAAUCAGGAUCUCCAGUGUCCAAGGCCUUAAGGAACCCCCGUUUCUGAGUGAACGCUUGAGGAAGUUUCCAGAGAGGUUUGACUGAGAGGUCUAAGAGUCCUGUGGAUUGGGGUUCAAGACUGGAUGAAAAGGAAGAAAGUCAGAAGCUAGCCGGAAGCCAGCAUUCUGCUUCUCUGCUUCUUGGUCGGUGGGGAUGUGAAGAUCCUGUGUCAUGCUUCUGCUGCCAUGAACUCUGUCAUGCCUUUCCCCACCAAGAAGAGCUGCUGCCUCAAACACACAUGGCUGCUUGCUCUCUACGUCUUGUCCAAGGGUUGGAUUCUUUAUGGAAGUAUUGAUAUGAAGGAGAACUUUCUGAGAAGCCUCCCCAAAAAAAACUGUGUAUUUGUGUAGUGUGAUGUGCCCUCUUUACAGCAACUACUUUGGAUACAAAUCCAUUGUCCUUAGACUGGAGCCGGGGCUGGGGGCCGGCCAGCCUUCUGUAGCACAGGGUCUGUGUGGUCUGUGGCUAAUCACAUCAAAGAGGAGUGGAAGGCAGGGAGCUGCCCGUGGGCAUUUCAGGAGUGGAGUGGAACGAUCGAUACCAGAAAUAUUUUUUACAUUUGGGUUGCUGUGACUGACGUGAAAAAAUAAAAACCAUUGUGAGAGAGGAGGCGUUUGUUUUGGUUCACCAUUUGUAUGUUAAGUGCUGUUGGUCAACUGCCUUGCUGCUUGUACUUGCUGAGGGCUAACUUUGAGAGCAAGUCAGACGGCCCUUAUCUCAGAUUCACUCAGGUUUAUCUCUCUUGUCCUCGGGGACACUUUCUUGGGGCAGGCUGGCCUCGUGCUUCUGUGUCGGGAAGAAAGACAAACACACAGCUAUAACUGCACCCUGGAGGGCGAUGGAUAGAAGAUGAACCAUUUCUAAGGGAAGUUACUGUUAUUUAUCCUGUGAUGUAAAAUACUGGAGGUGGGAACAAGAGGUGGGAAGCUCAUUAGUGGAGAGAACCCUCUGCUCUAGCUGGAAAUAUCCCAGACAGAACUCCAGUCUUUCUGACAGACUCAGCCCAGUCUUUCUGGGGCGGGAUGUUGCCAGGGCUCAACUUGAUGAUAUCUAUCUGUUGUUUGCUACUGAGUUUAUUUUUGCUUGCUUUCCCGGUCUAGUAACUCUAGUUAGUUCUGCUGGAUGUUUUAAGGGCCUGAUUUAUCUUAUGUAUCUGCUUCUUGCUAUAUGUUCUUUUGGUUUUGCUUGCUACACGCUUAAAAACCUCACUCAAACAAAAGUAAAUCUGUCAUAGGUCAUUUUCUGUAGGGAAUAUUAUUUCAGAGGGUUCAGUGCAUUAUGGCGGGGAGGCGUGGUCUGUCUGUCUCAGUUUACUUCAUAGCUGAACAUGAGGUAGAGAGUGACAGGAAGUGUCCAGGGAUGCUAUACUGAAGACUCACCCCAUGGAACUACUCCCUCCACUUAGCUUCCACAUCCCAAAUUGCAUACUAAAUUCUCUCUCUCU